rnacentral:rRNA from 1 species
GAUUGAACGCUGGCGGCAGGCCUAACACAUGCAAGUCGAGCGGAUGAAGGGAGCUUGCUCCUGGAUUCAGCGGCGGACGGGUGAGUAAUGCCUAGGAAUCUGCCUGGUAGUGGGGGAUAACGUCCGGAAACGGGCGCUAAUACCGCAUACGUCCUGAGGGAGAAAGUGGGGGAUCUUCGGACCUCACGCUAUCAGAUGAGCCUAGGUCGGAUUAGCUAGUUGGUGGGGUAAAGGCCUACCAAGGCGACGAUCCGUAACUGGUCUGAGAGGAUGAUCAGUCACACUGGAACUGAGACACGGUCCAGACUCCUACGGGAGGCAGCAGUGGGGAAUAUUGGACAAUGGGCGAAAGCCCGAUCCAGCCAUGCCGCGUGUGUGAAGAAGGUCUUCGGAUUGUAAAGCACUUUAAGUUGGGAGGAAGGGCAGUAUGUUAAUACCUUGCUGUUUUGACGUUACCAACAGAAUAAGCACCGGCUAACUUCGUG